rnacentral:rRNA from 1 species
GAUGAACGCUAGCGGCAGGCUUAACACAUGCAAGUCGAGGGGUAUAGUUCUUCGGAACUAGAGACCGGCGCACGGGUGCGUAACGCGUAUGCAAUCUACCUUUUGCAGAGGGAUAGCCCAGAGAAAUUUGGAUUAAUACAUCAUGGUAUGUGAGAAUGGCAUCAUUUUCACAUUAAAGUCACAACGGCAAAAGAUGAGCAUGCGUCCCAUUAGCUUGUUGGUAAGGUAACGGCUUACCAAGGCAACGAUGGGUAGGGGUCCUGAGAGGGAGAUCCCCCACACUGGUACUGAGACACGGACCAGACUCCUACGGGAGGCAGCAGUGAGGAAUAUUGGACAAUGGGCGCAAGCCUGAUCCAGCCAUGCCGCGUGCAGGAUGACGGUCCUAUGGAUUGUAAACUGCUUUUGUACAGGAAGAAACACUGGUUCGUGAACCAGCUUGACGGUACUGUAAGAAUAAGGAUCGGCUAACUCCGUGCCAGCAGCCGCGGUAAGAC